CGAGGGGUUGGCGCGGGCAAGCACUUCGCCAACUCGGUCAGAUCCGGAAGGAAGCAGCCGUAACGAUUCCCGCUUGGGUCGUUGUUCAGCCUCUCACCA
rnacentral:SRP_RNA from 2 species